UUGCUUUGACAGCACAUAUAAUAAAAUUGGAACAAUGCAGAGAAAAUCACCAUGAUCCCCAUGCAAGAAUGGCACAGAAAUUUGUGAAGUGUUUCACAUUUAA
ensembl:snRNA U6 U6 spliceosomal RNA